AUAACCCUACAACGCAGAUAUGGCAAAGCUUCAUGCAAUAGGGGCUCGGUGUUGCUAUAUAGGUCACAUGUACAUAGCGACUCAGUUGAUAGAUCUCGGCUGUCGUAGUCGUAUAUAAGAGACAGGAUCUAUUGUAUGAAAGACUUUAGGUGUGUAGAAACCCAUCAUGGAUAUUUUUGGUGUCGUCGACCUCCCAUUGUGGUUAGUUCUCAUCUGUCUUCUUGGCCUACUUUUUUACUGGUACGCCACACGACCCUACUCUCUGUUCGCAUCCCUCAACAUUCCCGGCCCUAAACCAAUACCAUUGUUUGGUAAUCUGCUGACCGAAACAAAACAGGGAUUCCACGUGGCACAUCAACAGUGGUUGAAACAGUAUGGGAAUAUUGUCGGGUUCUACGAGGGUCAGCACCCCUGCAUGCUGGUCGCAGACAAAGCCGUGCUUAAAGAGAUAAUGGUGAAACAGUUCAACAGUUUCAGGAACAGGCGGCCUCUGGGAAGCAUAACUGGCUAUCCAAUGAGUGACGGCAUCAUGCAACAAAGGGAUGAAGACUGGAAGCGUUCUCGGAGUAUCCUCACGCCGACCUUCAGCUCAGCCAAACUCAAACAGGUGUGCGAGCUAGUGAGCGUGUGCAGUGACACGCUCGUGGUCAACUCUCGGGCGCUGGCCAAAGAGGGCCGAGAAGUGGAGUUGAAAGAUCACUUCUCUGCCUUCACCCUGGACGUGAUCGCAAGCUCCGCGUUUGGCCUUCAGAUCGACUCUCAGAGUAACCCGGAUGACAACUUCAUCAAGCACGCCAAAAGUCUCACCAAUAUUAAAUUCGCCGGUCUGCUUUUCAUGUCCUAUUUUUUAGUGCCGUUCGUGCUGCCAGUGUUCAGACUACUCAACCUGUCAGUUGCGCCAAAGCAGCCAUUAGACUUCUUCCUCAAGGUCGUGGACCAUGCUGUGAAGGUCAGACAAUCUGGAGAGGAGACGCGGACGGAUCUGCUGCAGCUGAUGAUAAACGCUCACGAUGAAGAUUCUGGGACGGUGGAACCAGAGGACGAACUCAGCAGCAGCCUUCAGUAUGAAGUCAAGGGAACGAGGAAAGGGCUCACAUCUACGGAGAUGCUGGCCCACUCGGUGACAUUCUUCCUGGCGGGACACGAGACUACCUCAAGCGCCAUGUCUUAUGUAGCAUACAAUCUUGCCCUUCACCCUCACUGGCAGGACAGGGUUGCCAAGGAGAUAGACGAGAUCCUUGAACAGACUCUCCCGACGUACGACAACGUGGGCAAAUUGCCACUACUGGAGAUGUGCGUGCUGGAAUCUCUGCGUCUCUACCCUCCAGCCGUCAGGUUUGAGCGGGAAGCAGCAGACGACAUUGUCAUCAAUGGCGUCUGUAUUCCAAAAAACACCAUGGUCAUCGCUCCCGUCUAUGCAAUGAAUAGGGACCCGGAUGUGUUUCCGGAUCCGGACUCGUUCCAGCCAGAGAGCCUUUCUACCCCGCCAGGUUCAGCGCUGAGAACAAGUGCCGUCUCGGCCAGUGCGACUUCAUGCCGUUCGGGAUGGGCCCGCGGAGCUGCAUUGGGAUGAGGAUGGCGAUGGUGGAGGCCAAGAUGGGGCUGGCCAGAAUGCUGCAACACUUCAAGUUCGUCAGAUCUGCACGAACGCAGGUGCCUUUGACGUUCCGGAAAUCCCCCCUACUACAACCAGAGAAGGGGAUAUGGCUCCAACUCGAAGCCAGAAAAUGACAUGUUUCCUAAGGGUUGGUCCAAGUGUCUGUUCAGCGGUAAACAAGGCGUAACAAUAUAUACAACAUGUAACGUCUUACGCGAACUCCAUUAACCCGACAUAUCACUUUAAGCGCGUGUAAAGUUACGACCCUUACACAUUCCUGACGAAUCUGUGGUCUAAUAUCGACACUGAGCAUAACAUGAACUAACGGAUAACGAAUGGUCCCUUGGAUAUAGAGUUGUUGGUUGUACGUUAUAUCUGUUCAAGGCAAACAGGUUAGAGAUGUUGAACUUUAAUUUAGUUUCGAAAUAGUUUACCAAAUAAGGGUUUAAAUUUGAAAUGUACAUGAUGUCCAUGUGUGGCCCAACACGUGCCUGUAAUAUGUAUAGAUUGUAAAGUGUGAGAAUGAUACGAUUGAAUGAACAUUUGCUGUAUGAUUUAGUGAAGCGUUCCCGAGAAUGUAGAACGCAAAUUUGAUUACGUAAUAAAGUUUUGUUCGUGUU